rnacentral:misc_RNA from 1 species
CGUUGUUCAUUAACAUCAAAGAAUAUUUGCUUGUGGUGUCUUUGUCUCCACCAUAUAAGAAAACCGAAUCCAAGAAUCAACAGGCAGACACAACCCAAGCUUGAACCAAAGGCCAAGGCAAUUUUUUCCCACUUCCAGAAGGUUGAGAGUUUUGUGAGCCAUUCAAGAACAAAGAUUGUGGAGUCGGUAUUGAUCCAGGACAGUCUUUUGCAGUUCCACA